rnacentral:rRNA from 1 species
GAGUUUGAUCCUGGCUCAGGACGAACGCUGGCGGCGUGCUUAACACAUGCAAGUCACGGGGCUCGCAAGAGCAACCGGCGAACGGGUGCGUAACAACGUGAGCAACCUACCGAUUUGCGGGGGAUAGCUGCCCUAACGGGCAGGUAAUACCGGCAUACGCUCUUUUGGUCACCUGACCGGGGAGAGGAAACCUCCGGGGCAAAUCGAGGGGCUCGCGGCCUAUCAGCUAGUUGGCGAGGUAACGGCUCACCAAGGCGACGACGGGUAGCUGGUCUGAGAGGAUGGCCAGCCACAUUGGGACUGAGAAACGGCCCAGACUCCUACGGGAGGCAGCAGUGGGGAAUCUUGCGCAAUGGGCGAAAGCCUGACGCAGCGACGCCGCGUGGGGGAUGAAGGUUUUCGGAUCGUAAACCCCUGUUGCCCGGGACGAACUUCUCCAUUCGUGGAGAUUGACGGUAACCGGGUGAGGAAGCACCGGCUAACUCUGUGCCAGCAGCCGCCGCCGUAAC